UUUAAAAAGAAUUGUCAAAACACAGCUAAUAGGAUAAAAGAAGUGGGCAGGAGCGCCCUCUUGGCAAGAGCCCACUCUUCUGGGUCUUACUUUAGAACCAGGCAUCUCUUCAGUUCCCAGCAUGUAUCCAUCCACCCUUCUGGUCAGAGGUGAGGUUUUCAUUCCACAAAGUAGGAGAUCCAGGUAGCUUAAUACCAUUAUUUCCAGAACACCCCAGAUAGUGAAGACCCCCAGAUUUUAUCAUGCAAACACAUCUCUUGCAUCCCAUACUGGGGUUGGAAGCCAGGGUCUUGUGAGUGCUAAGCAAGCCCUCUACUAUUGCAUGACAUCCCUGGCCCACACCCUACCUUCUUUCCAGACACUGGCCUGUUAAAGAUCACUGGUAAAAAUUUCUUCUGACAGUUCAAGAGGCGUCAUAACCAACAGAAGGGCAAUUGUGUACAUAGGGAGUGUUAGAGGAAAAACAUGAACACCCGAUCAUGAUCACGCACUCAAGACCCGGGAACUGGACUCGCCCAGAGGUAGCAGCAAGAGCUCCUGAGUCUCAGAGAACAUGCACCUCUGGCCCCAAAGAAAAAAGAUGAGUCUCAAAGUGGGCCUAGGGUUGAAACUGCCAUCAGGCGUCACUUGUAAGGUGGCCAUUUCUCCUGCCACUCUCUCAAUCAAGCCUACUUCAAAGUAUAAUGGAGAGCCAUUUGUUGAGAAAGAAUCACAAGAGUUCAGGCUGGUGAAGUUCUAAGAUGCAGAUGUUAUCAAGCUGGAGCAGAGUUCGGUGAGGUGCUGAGAUGGAGCUUGGAUACCGAAGAUUAGAGGUCUGGGUGGAAAACAGAAAUGGCUGGAGAUGCCUACAUAUGGUAGGCAUGAAAGCCUGUGACUAUUGAUGAAAUCAUUUGAAAGACUGAGAGAAAACACUAGCUUAGGCUCUGGUUCCUGGGCAAUGGUUUUCAAAUUUAAGCCCAGGGAACUUAAUUCUGUGUCCCAAUUGGAUAAUCACCUGGAAGAUUAUUCCAGCCAGAUUCCUGGAUGGCUUCCCAUCCCCACUCAGGUCUGGUUUAGUACAAAAUUCUACAAGCUCCAAACUGUUGAUGGCGCUGACUGGUCAGGGCCUGUGUUCAGCACCUGUCACCUCAAUCCUCCGGCAGCAGUAGGCACUCUGGCAUUCUUAUAUUCGAGCUAGCCCCACGGCCUUAAUGCUCAGAAUACACUUGGAUAUCAGCAAGAAUCAAUUCCUCAUCAUCUCAAGGUCCCUUCAGAUGCACAGAUGUCAUCACUUUGGAAGGAAAUUUAAUAGGAAACCAGCAAAUUUCCCUAUCCAACCUCCUGUUGCCACCCCUAUUCCUUCCCUAUUUUAUUUUUCUCCAGUUGAAAUCACUUUCUAAUAGUCUAUACUUUUUAUUUACUUAGGUAUUUUCAUAAUUGAUCCCUCCCUGGAGGGAUUUAUAUCUAUUUUGCGUUUUGCUGAGUCUCUUAAGCCCAGAACAAUCUCUGACACAAAUUAAAUGUUCUAUAAAAAUACUUGGAUGAAUGAAUGAAAACAAAUAUUUUAAAUGUAGGAUAUGGCUGCUGCUGCUUUUUGUUUUCCUAGUUUGGAUGUAAAUGUGCGGGGAGAUGGAGGCCCAGAACAGCAUGACAGGCAUUCCUCCUCAAGCACUGACCACCAGUUUUGAUACAGGCUCUUUCACUGACCUGGAGCUCACCAAGUAGGCUAGACUGAGUGGUUAGUGCACCCCAGGGAUCGCCUUUCCCUGCAACACCAGUGCUAAGAUUGUAAGAGCAAGCCACCAUGCCUAGCAUUUCUGUGUGCUUUAGGACAGACCAAACUCAGGGCUUCAUGUUCAAAGCAAGCACGUUACCAACUGAGUUAUCUCCCUAGCCUGGAUGUGGUUUUAAAAAUUGAAUUCCAAUGGGAACACUUCCUCACUGGUUGGUCUCCACAUCUGAAAUGAGGCAAGACUGUGUUGCUUGCUUCUGGAAUGUCUCCUGGGGCCCAGCUACUGUGACAGGGAGCAGACUCGAAGGUGGCCAUGCAGCCUUCUAAGGAGCCCCGGUUUGUUUACGAGAGACAGAGCCCAUGAACAGAUCCGAAUGGAAUCCUCCAUCCUUUUGCUCACAGCCUGGUUGCAAAGAGGACCUGCUCGCCCAUCCAGCUCUGCCAGCUCCCACAGAUUGCCUGGAAUUUUACCUCCUAGCACAAGAGAAGUGGGGUACCUACUACUUCUUUGUGGGUGGAGGCUAUUCCACCCUCAUACCACUGAGCUGAUUUGCACUUGCUUCUCACACCCAGUGCAUGUACUCCCUGGCUUAGGGAUCCCCCCCAGGGCUCCCCUCUUCUGUGCUUCAAUGCCCUCUGCACUUGCAGUGACCUUGGCAUUUCUCACAAGCAUCUUUGCUUAUGUUUGCACUCUGGCCUGUUGGGCAUUCCUCAUGGGUGAAUCAAGGUGACACUUGUAUUUAUUUUAAGAAGUUUACUGCAUUCCAAAUCUUCAAAAUGUG